CCCUUCACUGUCAUGUUUCUGGCCACCCCUACUCGCAUGCUUAAUUGUCAAUAGUUGGACAUAAUAUUUUGAGUGAUAGAAUCUGCAUAGUCAGGGUAUAUGCUGUAAUUUGAUUGAGAUUUGUUUAUAUUAGCUUCUAGAUUCUUUCUUGCUAGUUCUUGCUUCUUAAAAAUUGUCUUCAAUGCUUAUUCUGGCCUCCCUUUUCAUAGCCCUUGAAACCUGGUUAGCGUAGCAAAGUGUUGGGGGUGGGAUCCUGGUAGGUUUCCACUUUAAUUUUCAGGAGAGGGCAAAAAUGUUACCUAUAUAAAAUGUUUAUUUUGUUGUCAUACUUAUUUCCAAACAUAAGUGACUUUAACUUCUUCUUGUUCAAACAUACCAGAAGAGCCCUAUGUUAUUUACAAUAAACAUUAAUCCUUCUUAGCUUAUUCAUUAUGUACUAUAUCCAAGCUUUUAAAUUCCUCCCCUGUCCCUUUUUCUCUUCCCAUUCUCAGCUUCUCCUUGUUGGACUACAGAUAUAUACGGACUUUUUGAAGAAACCAACUUUCUAGCAUUCAUAGAUUACUUGGGAACUAUUUUUGAGGUUGUAAAUCAAAAUCCAUCAUUCACAGACAUAGGGACAACAAAGUGGUGUAGAUAUGAUUGUGGCAUGUUCGCAAUCAAGUACAUGGAACAUUGGAACGGGGCAACACUAGCACAUUCAAUCGCGGAGAUGCAUCUAUAUCGAUUGAGGCUGGUCGUUACUUUGGUUACUAAUGCGGCAAACAAUGCUAGAGAUAAGGUCUUGAAGGCAUGUCGAAUUUGAUUAAUAGA